rnacentral:rRNA from 1 species
UACGGAGGGUGCUAGCGUUGUUCGGAAUUACUGGGCGUAAAGAGUUCGUAGGCGGUUUAUUAAGCUAGAUGUGAAAUCCCUGGGCUUAACUCAGGAACUGCAUUUAGAACUGGUAAGCUAGAGAGUGUUAGAGGUUGGUAGAAUUCCUAGUGUAGGGGUGAAAUCCGUAGAUAUUAGGAGGAAUACCGAUGGCGAAGGCAGCCAACUGGGACAUUUCUGACGCUGAGGAACGAAAGCGUGGGUAGCAAACAGG